AGUGAACGCUGGCGGUAGGCCUAACACAUGCAAGUCGAACGGCAGCACAGUAAGAGCUUGCUCUUACGGGUGGCGAGUGGCGGACGGGUGAGGAAUACAUCGGAAUCUACUUUUUCGUGGGGGAUAACGUAGGGAAACUUACGCUAAUACCGCAUACGACCUACGGGUGAAAGCAGGGGAUCUUCGGACCUUGCGCGAUUGAAUGAGCCGAUGUCGGAUUAGCUAGUUGAGGGGGUAAAGGCCCACCAAGGCGACGAUCCGUAGCCGGUGUGAGAGGAUGAUCAGCCACACUGGAACGGAGACACGGUCCAGACUCCUACGGGGAGGAGCAGUGGGGAAUAUUGGACAAUGGGCGCAAGACUGAUCCAGCCAUACCGCGUGGGUGAAGAAGGCCUUCGGGUUGUAAAGCCCUUUUGUUGGGAAAGAAAAGCAGCAGGUUAAUACCCCGCUGUUCUGACGGUACCCAAAGAAUAAGCACCGGCUAACUUCGUG
rnacentral:rRNA from 1 species